AAACUCAGAAAAUAAAUAAUCAAAAAAAAAAAUCUAUGAGAACUGAAAGAUUAUUUGCCAAGGUUUUUUCUCCUGAGUACCACUGAACUUUUUUAAAAACUAAAUAUUUCUGAAAACUAGUGGAUUUGAAUCAGGAGUUCAUUUAAGGAGGU